CACCGCUGUUUAAAGACCAACCGGAAGUCACAUGGUUACUUUAGAAAUUUUUUCAUCCCACAGCAAUAGCAGACAGGUUUAAUAAGAAACAUGUGUAAUUAGCAUGACUAGAACAAAUGGGUAUUAAGGGGCCAAACAUUGCUUCUCGCCUCAUUAAAAGAAUUACAAGCAAAAGUUUUUUGUUUCUAUCUGGCUUACUAUUAAUAAUUGGUAAUGAAUAUGUUUUACAUUUUGCCCACUAUCUCCAAUGGGCACCUAUCCCUGUGGAAACAAGACAUGAUGGAGACAUGGUGCUCCUGCUUGUUUCAGACCCACAAAUACAAGGUUACCAAAGAGAGCCAGCCUUUCCAGUAGGGUAUUUUUCACGAUGGGAUGCAGACAGGUACAUAAGCCGUUCAUUUAGUAUGGCAUUUCUCCACUCCUCACCAGAUAUCAUUCUUUUCCUUGGUGAUCUAAUGGAUGAAGGUAGUAUCGCAACCAAUGAAGAAUAUGAGUUGUAUUACCAAAGACUGCAGAAUAUUUUUCAGGAUGCUGCUGAAACCAAAAAAAUCUAUGUUCCUGGAGAUAAUGAUAUUGGGGGUGAAGGCUUUGACAGAAGAACAAGUGAAAAGAUAUCACGCUUUGAAAGAUACUUUGAAUAUUUAACUGGAGCUGUUAAAUUCCGAUUUGCUUCUUUUUUCAAGUUGGACGUCCGUUUCUUUGAACCAUUUUUACCCAAGCACAAGAAGAUACUUCAAGAAGUUGGUGAAGAAAUUUACAUGCCAUUCCGAAUCAUUUUGAACCAUGAAUCAAUUUCUCCGAAACUAAAGAGCCAUAUUUAUCCUUAUUCCUAUGUGUUGCAGCUAUUGAAGCCCAUUCGACCACACAUGGUCAUAUCUGGUCACUGGCACAAGGCAAAUUUAUUCUUGUGUGAGGAUUGCUUGUCACAAGAAAAUGAUGAUGGUGAUUACUGGCCUGUGACAAAACGUGACCUCACAUCAGAAGAAAACUAUAUUGAAAUCAAUUCUGAUGAGAAAAGUACUUUAGUUGAGAUUAUGGUGCCUACCUGCAGCUAUCGGAUGGGUGAACCUAAGAUGGGUUAUGGUGUUCUGGUUAUAAAUGACAAUGGGAAUAUCAAGUAUAUGACACUGUGGCUGCCACCAAGAUACAUCUCGUUAUUUAUGUAUGCUGGAUAUGCAAUAUUCCUCUGCAUAGUAAUUAUCUGCCAGAUCCUAAGGAAGCUGUUUUCAGCUAUGCGGCGAUUGCUAACCCGAACACAGAAUAAACUGCCAUCGUCUGAAAUAUAAAUAUUAUAAAAGUGCAAGGUAGCAAAGAGAAAGAAUCUACAUUCCUGAUUUUAUUAUUCAGAAACCUUGAUAAAGAAUGAUGCAUUAUCACCAAGUCAAACCAAAGAAAGAAAAAAUGUGAUAUUAUUGCUUUUUCCCUUUUUUGUUUUUUUUUUUUGUUUUCAAACGAUUUUAUUAUUUUCAAACGAUUUUAUUAUUUUCAAAGAUUCUAGAAAAUCGUUUUAUUCUCUAAUGCAUUCCAUGUUUUUUCUAGAAUCUAUGUAAUCCGUAGAAUGCAACAUAAGCCAAGAUAUUUCUUUUCUUAUAUAUGGACAUCAUAUAUCCUCGCUUCCAAAAUUCCUUUUCAUCAGCAUUUUUUAUUUAUUGCAUAGGUUUACAAAAUGGAACAUUUUGAAAAUUGUUUUGAUAAUUGUAUGUUACUCUAUAUAUUUUUGUGGUGCUAAUUCAAAAUAUCAAACAAGCACUUUCCCUUACCUAAGGUUUUCUCAUAACUUAAUGCUAAAAUAUACCAUAAUUUGUAGGUAAAUCUGCAAACGGUAGGACAAAAUGAAACUAAUAAAAAUUAAUUUGGUACUUUAUUUAGCAAAAUAAAAUGGCACAAAUGCAAUUGAAGUGUGAGAAAGUAGAUUUUUCCAUUCAUCCUUUGGUUCAGCACCUGAAAAUCUCUUCUUUUCCACUUGGAAGUUAUACCUCUUGUGAGCAUUUGGACAUUCAUAUUGACAUCAUAUUGACAUUCCAUCUUCCCUGAUAUUUUCUUUCCAUCUCCUUUCUGUCUUAAUGAAACCUUUUUCCUUGCUCUUUACUCACAUUACCGAGAUUUUCCAGAAAGAAAUCCUAAUGGGCAUUUAGGAAAUGAACUUUAAUGCACAUUUUACAUUCCAAAGCCUCCAAAUUUUCCAGUAUUCUUCCCACUAUGUCUUUGUAGUUUGGAUCUUUGUGAUUACCCUAGAAGUUUUUUUAUCACAUCGUUAAAAUUAAUCCAGGCAUCUUUAUAAGAAUCACUAAGAGAAAUUUUCAAAAUUUUCAUCCUUGACAAGUUUCCUUAUAUCUUGCAAAUACACCCUCUUCAACCUGGACAUUUGCUACAGAAAAACUUGAAGACCUCUCCAUCCUGUGGCAAAGCUUUUAUGAAUUGCUUCAUGAAACCAUGUUUUAUAUAAAGAUGGAGCAAAACUUUCUCAAAGGAUAUUCUUUAUUCCUGAUGUAAGCAUAUCCCUACUUCGCCAAUAUUUUUUUUACACAAAUAGAGGCUCCUGAUUCUACUGUCCAAUUCACAUAAGAAACAAGGAAUCUUUGUGUAGCUUGACUGUUGUCCAAGCAACUGCAAAUUAUUUCCAAGUUCCUGCAAAUCAUUUAGCUGUGAUCUUUGAAUUUAAUCUUGUGUAAGAAUGACACCAAAUUUUCAUGUUUCCUUCAUGAUCACUAAGUGUCCAACAGAGAUGGAAGCAUAUUUAUUAUCAUUAUGCAGUAGAGCAUCUUGAAGACUUUUCUUCAAAGAGUCAAUAAAGAGUUUCCAUUCAUCAGGCUGUAACUUAUGCUAAACUUUCCUAUUAGACCUGAUGGAUCUGUUCAAUAAUCUAAAUUAUUUUCUAGAGUGAAAAAAGGAACAAAUUCUAUCACAGUUAUGACACCAACAGAAUGUUGUUAUUGUUGAGGCCUGUUCAGUCCAUUAUAUUACUUUCCUUACAAAAUUAGCCUCAAAAUCAGUUAUCCUCAUUAUCUCAAUGGCUUCUGAAUAAGGCACAAGGCUAAUAAUUUUGAGAAGGGAGCUUAAUCAAUACCAUCAUGUCCAUUAUUUGGCUGGUAUUCUAUUUCAAGAGUCCCAAGAGGAUGAAAGGCAAAAUUAACCUUGGCAGGUUUUGAACUCAGAAUGUUAGAAGAAAUACCACUAAGCAAUUUUUCCAAUGCUCUAAAUGUUCUGCCAGCUUACUCACUGUCUUUAUUGUCAUUACCUUAAUAAUGAGUGGGUGGGUUAACAGAACUGGUAGAGUGCUUGACAAAAUGCCUUGUGGCAUUUAGUUUUAUCCCUUGAUUGGCCCUUUAUUGUGUUCAACUUACACUAGGGUCAACUUUACCUUUCUGCUUUCCAAGUCAAUAAAACCAUCAACAAUUGGAGUUGAUAUAACUAAUUAUAGCCCUCCCACAUGAUCUUGAAAAUCAUGGCAGAGUUCGUAGGGUGACAAGCAAAAUAAAAUGUCCUGAAGGAUUUAGUUGUUACUUUAUAUUCCAUGUUCAGAUCUCAUCAGAGUCAACUUUGAUUUUCAACCUUCCUGGGUUGAUAAAAUAUAGUACCAGCCAAAUACUAAGAUCAAUAUAAACAAAUCUUGCUUUCCUUCAAAAGUGUAGUCUUGUGCCAAUAUUAGAAAUCAUUAUUAUUGUAAGCAUAGCUAACAAAAAACAAGAGGUAAUCUCCUGAGGAGAUAAGUCUACUCACCUCAGGAAAGGUACAAACAUCACAUAAACCUAUUCUCUUCGCCAAUAAAAUAUAUGGCCUUAUCCUUAAUUAAGGAAUAAAAAUAUGGUUUCUUUAAUUAAUUUAUGACUACUUUUUUUAUUAUAAUGAUUAUACUAUUAAUUGUUAUUGAUUAGAUAUACUUUACACAUUGAAAAUCAUCUAUGCUCCUCAAUAUUAUUGGUUCCCCACUCUAACAGAAUGUAAUUCCAAAUGAAAGUAGAAAAUAGCUUUCUAAGAAAGUGUACUAUAGAGAUUAUUUUAAAAAUCUGAGACACAUACACACAUUUAUUUAAUUUAGUGACAUACUAUAUCUGCAUCUCUUGUUGAAGUACUGCAUAGUCAGUGAUAGUCUUCAUUGAUUACUGAUGGAUGAAACUUAUUGGCACCACAUGCAUUAUGUCUUUCAUUUCAUUUCAGUGGUUCAGGUUUCACACAACAAUGAAAUACUACCACUUUCACUGGUUCAAGCACACAGAAGGUAUAGUGUAAACAGGGGUAGUGAUUCUCUGUUCCCCUGCAUGGAUGUGUCUUCUGUUGAAGUCUCAUAUAGUCAAAGUCAUUGACUACACUGACCAUCAAUGGAUGAACAUAACUUUAGAAAUCUUCAUCUUUUAGCUUCUUUAUUUCUGUCCCUUUAUUUUAUGUAUAUAUUUUGUAGUAGUUGCUAAGUCCUUGUUAAAUUUCAUAGAUGAGUUACCAUUAACAAAUGUGUUAAUAUAUCUCCUGCUUCUUGAAUAGAAAAAUAUUUUUUGUCUCUAAUAUAUUAUAUGCCAUUUGCUAAAACUUUAAUAACAGACAAGCUACAUAUAAUGUAAGAAGCUGUUACAUUAUUUAAUCUGAAAGCUUAGUUUUUACCAAUUAGGAUAAAAGUCUUUUCUUAUAGAUGAUUAUGAGGAAUGUGCCAAAACUAUAGCUUUAAAAUACAGCUACAUAGACUUCUGAACAGAAUGGAGGCAUUCAGGUAAAAGAAUGAGAUGUUGAGGCAAGUGAACACAGAGAUAUUUAGAUAUGUUACAUAUAAAGUGAAUCUCAUAAAAGGAAUUCCAUGCAUUUGUUGGUUCUUAUUUAUCGAAACCUUCAAAGAACAUUUUUUUUUUACAUCUUUAAAGAUUAAAAAAAUUUUUAGAUUUAUAUAUGUUUCUAAUCAGAAUGUUUCUCAUUAUAUCUGUCUUCAAAAUCUCUUUUUUGAAAAUUUUUUUCAUUGAUUAAUUGAUUUCAUGACUCUGUAGACAAUAAGAAUCAUAUAUUCAACAAUAUUUAGGUAAUAAUAACACUAUUAAUAGCAUCUAUAUGUAACUAAUGUAACUCUUUGAAAGAUGUUAACUCAAUCCUGAAAGUUAAUGAAACAUGUGUUAGUCAUAGCAUGACUAUUAUUUAAAGUCUAUUCACAGCUUAGUGAUAACAAAUCACAUGUUAAGUCUCACAAAAUUUGAUAUCAGAAAGCAGUUAUAUCCCAAACAUAAUCCAUUCAUUAUACUAAUAAACAAAAGAUACAAAAGAGACCGAUAGAAUAAAUACUAGGUUUAUAGAGAAUAAGUCCUGGGGUUGAUUUGUGCAACUAAAAGUUGGUGCUCCAGCAUGGCCGCAGUCAAAUACCUGAAACAAAUAAAAGAUAUAUAUAUAUAUAUAUAUAUAUAUAUAUAUAAACAAAAUAUUCAAGCACUAAGGUUUGAAAUAAGAUGUCACUAUUGUUAAUAUCAUCUGUGGAUAAAAUUAAAAAUUGAUGGUAUCAACAGUAUCAACAUAGGUGGUUCGCAGGCAAAAAGCAUUAUUUAGCUAUAAAUUGCAAAUCAGCAUGAAGCAUAAGGAUGUAGAAAAGCAUCAACCUGCUAGAAAUAAGAGCUAAAAGUCUUAAUUAAAGCACCAAGAUAACAGAAAUAACAGGAGGCGAGGAAACGGAAAGAAUUACUACAUUCAAAAGCACAACUAUGAAAGAUUAUGCUGAGUUUCAGCUUUUGGAAAUUUAAUCCUUGAACCUCUUCAGUGUAGACCACCUAGUAAAAAUUCAAGACUGUCACAUUAUAUUCCGUUAGUGUACUGGUUUUAUUUUAUAUAAAAGUAUGCAUACUGUAUUAAAAGGGUAUGUCUGUUUAUAGCUCUUCUAAUAUAUAGUUAUAUAUACAUGUAUAUUACUAUAUAUUUAAUAUAUAUAUAACCAAUAGAAUUAACAAAUAUGAUAUUUGUAAUAUUUAUUUGCACUUUGUAUUAUUAUUGAUAUUUCAGUUUUAGAUAUAUCUUGUGUAUUGGUUAUGAGAAGUGAACAGCAAGGAAUAAGUUCAAAACAAUCAAUAUGUCUUUUAGUGUUAAACCGUUUGUCUAUGAAAAAGAUACAUUGGUCAAAGGUGCACAAGAAAAACCUUGCAGCACACUAUGGGAUAUAUGAAUAAACUGAUUUGUUGUUUGUGUAUUCAGUCUAAAUGAACAGUAGAAUUAGGUGCAAGCAUAGCUGUGUGGUUAAGAAGCUUGUUUCCCAGCCAUGUGAUUUGGAGUUUAGUUCCACUGUGGCACCUGAUGAAAGUGUCUUCUACUAUAACCCCAGCCAACUAAAACCGUGUGAGUGGAUUUUGUAGACAGGAAAUGAAAGAAGCCUGUUAUGUGUGUGUGUGUUUCCAGUCCUCUGUAGAAAACUUGCAUAGCCAUGGAGAGAGGUGAGGGUUGGUGACAGGAAGGACAUCCAACCUUAGAAAUUCUGCCUCAACAAAUUUUGUCUGACCCAUUCAAGUGUGGAAAAAAUGAACAUUAACACAUUAUAACACCAAGAAAAACAUGCAUUUCCAGUAACCAAAUGACUUUUGCCCAGGUGGGGUUCAUCUAGCUCCAGUGCAGUCAGGACCAUAGUUUAACCUUUUGUUACUAUAUUUCUUUUGAAAUAUCUUUCAGUUAAUUUUGAAUAUAUUGAAGAUUUUAGUGAAAUAACUUUGUCUAGUGCUUGGAAAAUCUUGAAGGAAGGCUUUAAUUUGGAUCUUUUUAAAAAUGUAAGCUUAUAUCAUAAAACCGGGGACAGUCUUAGACAGGUUAAUAUAAGAAGGUUUAACUGUCCAUCUAUCACCGGUAUAUUUGAAUGUUGAACUGUCUGAUAUGUACAACUGUGGUGUUGAACAUGAUUGUAUUGGAGUCAGGGUUUUUAUAUGUAUUUGUAUGUAUAUACAGGUUGCAUAAGAUAUUUGAGGACAUCCCUUUUUUGGGUCAUUGCUGCAUUUUUUGCUAACUCUGUAUAAUCUUUGUUUCAGAAAAUAAUAAUGGCAGACCCUCCAUUUACUCAAGAAAUGAAAAGGUAUGCAGUUAUUGUGGUUAUAAAGGCUGAGCAUAGGGAUUUAGAAAUACCUUGAUUUUUAAAAGUUGCCAGAUCUUUUGUCUACAAAGUUUGUAAGGAGCUAGAGACUGGAGAUGGAAACAUAUCACCAGUAUCAAAGCUUAAAAAGCAUUCUAAAUGCUCUGAAAUCAUCAGAACACUUAAAUUUAUCCAGCAAGUUCAACAGACCAUCGAUUACAAUCCCAGAAAGUCCAUGAGGUCAAUUACAAAAGAUCUCCAUGUGUCAGAAGGAACAGUCAGAAAUGUUGUCCCCAAAGACAUCAGAUAUAAGUCUUAUAUGGAUGAGGAAAGGUCAAUUUGUCAGAAAAGUAAAAGAAAAUCACUACAUCAGAUCAAAAAGGUUCUUAAACAAACUGAAAAAUCCAGCAGAAGAUUUGAUUUGAUUUUUCUCAAACGAGAAAAACUUCAACCAAGAUCAAAAAGUUAACAGAAGAAAUGACAGAUGGUUAUGUGCAGACCCUUCUGAAGUUCCAAGUGUCAUGCAUACAAAAUUUCCUGCAACUGUCAUGGUUUUAGGGGUUGUCAGCAAUGAAGGACAUGUGAUGCCUCCUUACUUCUUUCCACAAAUCCUGAGAGUUAACUCUGCCACCUACAUUGAGGUUCUGGAAACAAUUGUUAAGACCUGGAUAGACAGUGUAUGCAAUGGAAGGCCAUAUGUAUUUCAGUAAAACUCUGCACUGUCACCCAUGGCUCUAGUAACACAGGAAUGGAUGGUUGAAAAUUUUCUUGAUCACAUAACCCCUAACAUUUGGCCUCCUAAUUCCCCAGAUCUCAAUCCAUUGGAAUAUUACAUGUGGAGUGUUGUUGAGAGAGAGGUCAAUGAAGACACCCAUAGCACCAAAGAUUCUUUGAAAGCUGCCAUAGUCAGAGUAAUGUCCAAAAUGAACCAGAACCACUUGAUAUGAGCAUGUAGAUGAUUUAGAUCUCAUUAGAAGCAGUUGUUGGAGCUGAAGGUGGUUUUAUUGUAUAAUAUUAUAGAAAAGGUUUAUUUUUAUCCUCAUAGCAUUUUUUGAUAAAUAAAGUUAUUAUCUGUUAUUAUA